rnacentral:lncRNA from 1 species
CUAAAUCUAGUCUACCAAAAACCCUUAGUCAAAAUUGGACUAACUCUUGAUUACCCAUGCAUGAAUGCUACUUAGGAUAACAUAACCCCAAGAUCUCUCUAAAUUUGAUAAACUUACUACUGUUCAAAUUCAUAUUGAUGUGCUUUGGUGAUUUUGUUCUACAAAUUUUGACAUUCAAACCCCCCAGUUUAUUUUCAUGUUUUGUUCUAGUUCGCAUUAUGGG